UGGAAAAAUCAGUCACUUUCUUUAAGUUUACUUUUGCAUCUAUAAAACUAGGAGGCCGAAAUCAGCCCUAUAGGCAGAGUGAAGCCUGGUUCAGAAUUGCUCUUACUCUUAUUUGUGAGGAAGAUGGGAAACAGAGGAAGAAUGUAUAGAAGGAAAGCUGGAAAAUCACUAUCUAAUUGGUUCAUGUGGAAUAAUCAGGUUUUUUUUCAAUUAGAUCCUAAGAAAUGUGAAAGAAGAGUAUAAGAAUUCUUAAGAUUUUCAGUAGUCCUAGAACAGGACCAGUUUGUAGCAUUUUAAAUAAAUACCUAUCAACUGGCUUGCUGACUGACCAAAAAAAAAUGGGAAUACUCUUUCUCUCCAUGCCUUACUUUUUCUGGCACUCAUGCUAGAAGAUGAAGAAACAUCAUUUUCCUGAGAUCCUAAGCUUUGUUUGCAUUUAAGUGGUACUAGGACUAACGGUAGGAAACAGAAAAGUCAACCAUUCAUCGUCAGCAGUCCCCACUACCCCUCUGCCUCCUGUCCACACCCCCCUCUCUGACCCCACCACAUCACCUCAUACAGGAGGGCCACCCUCUUCCAUUCCUCUCCAAAUCUAUUCUCAGAAAAGGAUUUAAGUACUGACUUAAAUGUUUAUUCCCCUAGAGGCAUAGCAUUUAUAUUCUAAGCUAGCUCUCUCAUUGUGGAAAGGCAGCCUCAUCUCUUGUGCACUGAAUUUAGGUUCCCCUCAAAUUAGGUGUGUUGGGGGAAUGCUUAUUCAACUCAUAAGGCUGGCCCUAAAAUACUGCCCAAUGAAGCAAAAGAACUCUUUGGUCUGAAAUCCCUUCCUUAAAGAUUAGACUCUCCCUUCUUCCAUGCCCCCGCCCCCCUCACAAAUACACACACACACACUGUUAGACAAACACACACUUACACCUACCCUCAAUGCAGACAUACUUACACGCACACACAAAAUCUCUCACAUAUGGUCAUUCUGGAAGAAGCAGCCAAUGUCCUGCCUUGCCCAAGAAAUCUGCCCAAGGCCCUGACAGAUGAGAGACUUGCCUGUCCUCUUCUGCAGAAUUGCAGAGAAGGUGGGCAAGACUGGAAGCCAGAGGCCAGUGUGGUGCUUUGAAGCUGUUUAUGUACCCGAGAGAAGCAUUAAUCCAUUCCUGUACUUUGUGGACCCCUUGUAAGUAGGUUCUUUUGAUGAGGCUACUUCAGUUAAGGUGUGUCCCACCUCAUUCAGGAUGGGUCUUAAUCCUCUUACUGGAGUUCUUUAUAUGAGAAUAAAAUUCAGACAGAGAAGGAAGCCACAGAAGCAAGAUGCUGAAAGCAACAAAACCCAGAAGAGAAGGGAGAGACCGCAGAUGCCAUCAUGUCCCGUGCCAUGUGCCAGAGGAGCCAAGGAUCACCGGCAACCAGUCUUUGGAAAGAAAGCAUCACCUUGAUUUGGACAUUUUCCUCAGCCUCAAAACUGUAAAUUCUUCAUUGGGGAGCAUUCUUCAAACCCAUUUAUUGGAAUUCCACGAGUACUGCUAAGCCAUGCCUCUCUCCUCUCCUCUUUUUAUUCCCCUUUUCCUUUUCAACCCCAGCACUGGCCUUCCCCCCCUCCUUUUUUUUCCAUCCCUUCCUUCUGGCCUCCUCCAGCCCCAACAUCACCUUUAUUCACAGCCCUCGCUGAGGUUAAAGGAAAAUUACAUUCCAUGGAAGGAGCCUGCAUGGAUAGCUGAAGCCCGGGUGUGAGAAGUGACACUGGUCUGUGAAGCCGGAACUUGAGUCUAUGGCUCAAGUCUAGCAUAUGACUGGGUCUAUGACUGGGUCGUGGAAUUUCUUCACCUGCUGUGGAAGGGAGACUUCAUGCCUCAGUUGGAUUUAUCUUUCUGCAUCCUCUGCCCAACAAGGACAUGGCAGCCACCAUGCUUGAGCACUCCUUGAAGGAUGAGCCCUCAUCCCUCCCCUGUCUCUUAUCCUCCAUGCAGCACUGGAUAGAUGUAGAGCAGUGAUUUUAAAACUUGCUCACCACCACCCAUCAGUGGGGCAUGAAAUCAAUUAGCAACUAGUUUUGAAUACUUAGACUAGAAAAUAGCAGAGUAUAUCACAAGUAGUAAGGGUAAAUGCUUGGUGUGAAACUCUGGGUUUAGUUACACGUAUGAAUGCAUGUACUGGGUGGCAAUAUCCUCAGAGUGGAUACUAUAUGCCACUCAAUCAUAAGGGCAGAGUUAGAGCAAACUCCAGCAUAACAUGUAUUCUGGGCAUUUUAUGAAUAUUUGCUUAUAAGAUUUUUAUUUCCAAAACAUCUUCCUUCAACAAAAGUUAGAGAGCUAAAAGCGAUACUUUUCCUAACAUCCAAUCCCAUGCAGAGAAUUUCCAAACUGUGGCUAGAUUGAGGUAUGCUGGGUUGGUCAUUACCCAGAGCGAGUGGGGCUAUCAGCCAGGGCUUGAGAGUGAGUGUGGAGUCCCAGAUCCGACUUGCUCAAAUCCCAGCUAGCCCUGGCUUUAAGGGAGGGGAUACUUAUAAUAUCUCUGGACCCAAAGAAUAUCUGGGCAAGGCAAGCCCUGGCAUUCUUUUUCCUCUUCAGAGUAGGCAUUCCAGCCCAGGGAUUAAGCUCAUCCAGAGAUGCCAUUCUGGAGGGAAAAGUGUAUCUCCAUUUAUUACUGUCAUUGUUAUUAUUAUUUGUUAUAUUACUAUUAUUUGUUUUGUUAUUAUUGUUAUUAUUUGUUAUUGCAUUUCCUAGUCCAUGGCUGGGCCCACAGGCACUCAAUAGACAACUGAUGAGCGACCAGCUGACAUUUGUCUUGUAAGGCAGUAACUCCACUAGAACCUAUCCCAAAGAUUCAGUUCAUAGAGAAUCAGAGUACCUUCAUCCCUUAAAUUUUCAAAGACUGUAAGAUCAUCUUUUUUCUCUGUGUGUAGACAGACUUCUUUAGAGUCUCUCCUAGUUCCCAGGCGAGGCUUGAGUAAGGGAUGUGGGAAUAAAGGCUUCAACAGGAGUAUUUCUGAGCUUAAAGCAACCUUUUGGUCCACUGCCUCGUUUCACAUAUGAGGAAACGGAGGUUGGGAGGUAUUAAGUGACCUGCCCAAAAUCAAAGAGCUGGUUAGUAGUGGAGCCACACUGAACCUCUAGUCGCCAGGCUCCCCUCUUAGCAUUCAGAGUGAGUCAAGGAAGAGGCUUAGAACUCUCUGGACUUCUCAGAGCCGUUACCACAAGAACCUUCAAUGUAUGUGGCAUUUUCCUUUCGAAGAAGCUUCUCAUUGGUCAUCUUGGCUUACCCUGAGGCAUGGCAAUUAAGUGGCUCACUCAUGGCUCCAGAGCUGAGGGAGGGUCCUUCCCGUCCCCCUCCCCGAGAACCUGCUUCCGGUAGCCCCCUGGGAGAAAGAUUUGCUAUCAGUCUUACCCCUUGCCGCAGAUCCUCAGCUUUUUAAAUGGCUGCAGUUGGGCUUGAAGAUAGGGAGAGGACGACCCUUAACCCAGCCUUCCAGCCCUGGGAUUCUAGACCGCAGGUUCAAGGGAAAGAUAAGGAAUGAGGAUGUUGCCUCAAGCAUUCUCAUAGAAUACCACUACUGUGUUCCUAAUUCGUCGUUUCUGGGCUUCAAUUUCCCUAACAUGGUAAUUCUUUCUUUUUCUUUUUUUGACCACUGGUAUCUAAGAAUAAAGUUAUCCUUUUCGACAGUUAA